rnacentral:rRNA from 1 species
AAGAUCUGGAUGAUGUUGGCAGGGUGUCCAAGAAAAGCUUCUAAGCUUUGAAGCACACGUGACCGUACUAAAACUGACACAGGUAGGCGAGAUGAGAAGUCUCAGGCGCUCGGGAGAAUGGUGAUUAAGGAACUCUGCAAAUUGGCCCCGUAAGUUCGCGAUAAGGGGCGCCUAGCAAUAGGCCACAGAAAAUCGGCUCUAGCGACUGUUUAUCAAAAACACAGGACGCUGCUAACACGUAAGUGGAUGUAUAGCGUCUGACGCCUGCCCGGUGCUGGUAGGUUAAGGAAGGCGGUUAGCUCCCUCGGGAGUGAAGCUGGCGACCGAAGCCCCAGUAAACGGCGGCCCUAACUAUGAGGGUCCUAAGGUAGCGAAGUUCCUUGUCGGGUAAGUUCCGACCUGCAUGAAAGGCGUAACGACUGGAGCACUGUCUCAAUCACCAACCCGGUGAAAUUGUAGUCGUGGUGAAGAUGCCACGUACCCGCGGU